CAGGAACUGCAGUCUAAGUUUAGCACCUAAACGGCGAAACUGCGAAUGGCUCAUUAAAUCAGUUAUCGUAUAUUUGAUAGUACCUACUACAUGGAUAACCGUGGUAAUUCUAGAGCUAAUACAUGCUUAAAAUCCCGACUUCGGAAGGGAUGUAUUUAUUAAAUUAAAAACCAAUGCCCUUCGGGGCUCACUGGUGAUUCAUAAUAACUUCUCGAAUCGCAUGGCCUUGUGCCGGCGAUGGUUCAUUCAAAUUUCUGCCCUAUCAACUUUCGACGGCUGGKUCUUGGCCAGCCGUGGUUACAACGGGUAACGGAGGGUUAGGGCUUGACCCCGGAGAAGGAGCCUGAGAAACGGCUACUACAUCCAAGGAAGGCAGCAGGCGCGCAAAUUACCCAAUCCCGACUCGGGGAGGUAGUGACAAUAAAUACUGAUACAGGGCUCUUUUGGGUCUUGUAAUUGGAAUGAGUACAAUUUAAAUCCCUUAACGAGGAACAAUUGGAGGGCAAGUCUGGUGCCAGCAGCCGCGGUAAUUCCAGCUCCAAUAGCGUAUAUUAAAGUUGUUGCAGUUAAAAAGCUCGUAGUUGAACCUUGGGCCUGGCUGGCCGGUCUGCCUCACCGCAUGCACUGGUCCGGCCGGGCCUUUCCCUCUGGGGAGCCGCAUGCCCUUCACUGGGUGUGUCGGGGAACCAGGACUUUUACUGUGAAAAAAUUAGAGUGUUCAAAGCAGGCAUAUGCUCGAAUACAUUAGCAUGGAAUAAUAGAAUAGGACGUCGCGGUUCUAUUUUGUUGGUUUCUAGGACCGCCGUAAUGAUUAAUAGGGACAGUCGGGGGCAUCAGUAUUCAAUCGUCAGAGGUGAAAUUCUUGGAUCGAUUGAAGACUAACUACUGCGAAAGCAUUUGCCAAGGAUGUUUUCAUUAAUCAGGAACGAAAGUUAGGGGAUCGAAAACGAUCAGAUACCGUUGUAGUCUUAACCAUAAACUAUGCCGACUAGGGAUCGGGCGGUGUUAUUUCUUGACCCGCUCGGCACYUUACACGAAAGUAAAGUUUUUGGGGUUCUGGGGGGGGAGWAUGGUUCGCAAAGGCCUGAAAACUUAAAGAAAUUGACGGAAGGGCACCACAAGGGGUGGAGCCUGCGGCUUAAUUUGACUCAACACGGGGAAACUCACCAGGUCCAGACACAACUAGGAUUGACAGAUUGAGAGCUCUUUCUUGAUUUUGUGGGUGGUGGUGCAUGGCCGUUCUUAGUUGGUGGAGUGAUUUGUCUGCUUAAUUGCGAUAACGAACGAGACCUUAACCUGCUAAAUAGCCCGUGCCGCCUAGGCGGCACGCCGGCUUCUUAGAGGGACUAUCGGCUCAAGCCCAAGGAAUUU
rnacentral:rRNA from 1 species